rnacentral:rRNA from 1 species
UACGGGGGGGGGGCAAGCGUUGUUCGGAAUUACUGGGCGUAAAGGGCUUGUAGGUGGCCAACUAAGUCAGACGUGAAAGCCCCCGAGCUUAACUUGGGAAUUGCGCUUGUGACUGGCGUGCUGGAGUGUGGCAGAGGGAGGUGGAAUUCCACGUGUAGCAGUGAAAUGCGUAGAGAUGUGGAGGAACACCGAUGGCGAAGGCAGCCUCCUGGGCCAGCACUGACGCUCAUGCACGAAAGCGUGGGGAGCAAACAGG